GAGACUGAGACACAGGCAAGUGCUGAUAUCCCAGGUGAAAAGGCGCGAAGACAUCGUGGCAAGUCGGGCAGACAAGCUUACUGAAAUGAAAACUCCACAGGCGUCUUAUCUGUCGUGUUUAUGGCUAAAUUCCUACUGCUUUGAGUAGAGGAGCUAGAAUCCUUGUAUCGCAUGGUCAGAAGAAACUUAAGAACUGAGGCUCAGCACAGCAAAACAACUUGCUACAAAGGACCCAUAUAACUUGUUAUAAAGACACAACCAAAGAGCCUCAUUUCAAGCCCUCUGCGGAUGGUUCCCAUCUGUGCCAUCCGCACUACGUCACGCAGCCUGUGGUAUGCGGCAGGUGAAGGCUGACCAUCAGGCCUGAAGAUCCCAUUGCAGUACCUGAGGUCCAUGGAGAGCCGAGAACUUUCUGGCCAUAAGAGAUCUGGAGAACUUGAACUCUGAAACACUGUGAGCCUAGAAGCAUUUGGCUUGUGAAAUAGAACAACUUUAUCCUCCAUGAACCUGUAAUUUGAAAGUACUUGCCCUCCCACUCAAGGCCUUCUGACCUCUGGCCCUGGGCUUUCACACCAACAUUAUCUUCUGCCGUGUUUUUGCAGACUCCUGCAGUUCCAGCCAGACUACACAUUCACUUACGUACUUCCCUGAGCACCAUCACACCAGGUGUCAGGUGGGCGCAGGGGCAGGGGAAGAGGCCCCUUAGGCUGUCGUCACAACGUUUCCUAUGGCAACCUCUUCAUCUUGCCCUGGACCAUACUGAAGGAGUUUGUGGGGAUGUAUAGACUUAAUGAAGUCUUUAUUUUUAUUUGGUUCUUUUCCUGUCUCUCUACUUCUCUAAUUUAUUUUUUCCAACUUUCUGCCCUCAUUCCUCAGUGUCCUUCAUGUCUCUCCUCCCCCACUGCUCUUGACCACAUGAGUGGCAUUCUGGGAAAAUGAUGGGCAUUGAAUGAUGCCCCACCCUUCCUGCAGCCUCUGUUCUGUGGAGGGGCUUGC